GAGAGAGAGAGAGAGAGAGUUGCAUCAUUCAGUUAUUGAGAGUUGUUUUAGAGAGGGGGCGCAACAACAAUUUAGAGUAAUCCAAAACCCUCAUCAGUCUCUCUGCUAUCUUUUUCUCCCUUUCCUCCAGUCUAUUGGAAAAACCAUUAGGCCUAGGCCAUAAAACAGGGGUAAACUUUCCUUCCUAAUCCCCUCUAAACCCCACCAUGAGAAGUCACUGUCAUGGCAUUACCAAUCCACUUUAAAAUAAAUAAAAAAACAUUUUUUGCAGUGAUGCUAAUCCCAAAUGCUUGAAAAAUCAGGACACAAGUAAAGGAAGCAGUUUAAACUUCAAACUCAUAGUCCUUGAGAGAGAAAGUCAGAUGUCAAAAUUUAAAUAUCAGACAAUGAUAAAAAGGGUGGGAAGGAACAACUUUAAUGUCAUUAUGUUGAAGUUCCCUAACAGAAAAGCAAAGCAAUUAAAAUAAAAUGAUAGCGCCCAUGAGAAUU
rnacentral:misc_RNA from 1 species